rnacentral:rRNA from 1 species
GACGAACGCUGGCGGCGUGCUUAACACAUGCAAGUCGAGCGGAAAGGCCCUUCGGGGUCCUCGAGCGGCGAACGGGUGAGUAACACGGUAGUAACCUGCCCCAGACUUUGGGAUAACCCUCGGAAACGGGGGCUAAUACCGGAUACGACACAGCUUCGCAUGGGGUCUGGGUGCAAAGGUGUUCGGUUUUGGUUGGGCGCGCGGCCUAUCAGCUUGUUGGUGGGGUGAUCGCCUACCAAGUCGCCGACUGAUAGCCGGCCUGGGAGGGGGACCGGCGACAAUGGGACUAAGAGACGGAGCAGACGCGUACGGGAGGCAGCAGUGGGGAAUAUUGCACAGUGGGCGGAAGCCUGAUGCAGAGAUGCCGGGUGCGGGAUGACGGCCUUCGGGUUGUAAACCUCUUUCAGCAGGGACGAGGCGUAAGUGACGGUACCUGCAGAAGAAGCGCCGGCCAACUACGUG